rnacentral:rRNA from 1 species
AGAUUGAACGCUGGCGGCAGGCCUAACACAUGCAAGUCGAGCGGUAGAGAGGUGCUUGCACCUCUUGAGAGCGGCGGACGGGUGAGUAAUGCCUAGGAAUCUGCCUAGUGGUGGGGGAUAACGUUCGGAAACGGACGCUAAUACCGCAUACGUCCUACGGGAGAAAGCGGGGGACCUUCGGGCCUCGCGCCAUUAGAUGAGCCUAGGUCGGAUUAGCUAGUUGGUGAGGUAAUGGCUCACCAAGGCGACGAUCCGUAACUGGUCUGAGAGGGAUGGAUACGAGUCACACUGGAACUGAGACACGGUCCAGACUCCUACGGGAGCAGCAGUGGGGAAUAUUGGACAAUGGGCGAAAGCCUGAUCCAGCCAUGCCGCGUGUGUGAAGAAGGUCUUCGGAUUGUAAAGCACUUUAAGUGGAGAAGGUUGAACUUAAUACGUUGCAACUUUGACGUUACGACAGAAUAAGCACGGCUAACUCGUGCCAGCAGCCGCGGUAA